rnacentral:rRNA from 1 species
UACAUGGGGUGCAAGCGUUGCUCGGAAUUAUUGGGCGUAAAGCGCACGUAGGUGGUCUGUUAUGUCAGAUGUGAAAGCCCUCGGCUUAACUGAGGAAGUGCACCUGAAACUGGCAGGCUUGAGUACGAAAGAGGGUCGCGGAAUUCCCGGUGUAGAGGUGAAAUUCGUAGAUAUCGGGAGGAACACCGGUGGCGAAGGCGGCGACCUGGUUCGAUACUGACACUGAGGUGCGAAAGCGUGGGGAGCAAACAGG